rnacentral:rRNA from 1 species
GAUGAACGCUGGCGGCGUGCCUAAUACAUGCAAGUCGAGCGAACAGACGAGGAGCUCGCUCCUCUGACGUUAGCGGCGGGCGGGUGAGUAACACGUGGAUAACCUACCUAUAAGACUGGGAUAACUUCGGGAAACCGGAUCCAAUACCGGAUAAUAUAUUGAACCGCAUGGUUCAAUAGAGCAUGACGGUUUUGCUGUCACUUAUAGAUGGAUCCGCGCUGCAUUAGUUAGUUGGUAAGGUAACGGCUUACCAAGGCAACGAUGCGUAGCCGACCGGAGAGGGUGAUCGGCCACACGGAAACUGGAACAGGGUCCGGACUCCUAGGGGGGGCAGCGGGAGGAAAACUGCCGCAAGGGGCGAAGGCCUAACGAGGCAACGCGGGGGGGGUGAGAAGGGUCUUCGGUUGGUAAAACUCUGUUAUUGGGAAAAAACAAAUGUGUAAGUAACGAUGCUGGUCUUAAGGUAACCAAAGCAGAAGGCCACGGCUAACUAGGU